rnacentral:rRNA from 1 species
CCUACGGGAGGCUGCAGUAGGGAAUAUUGCUCAAUGGGGGAAACCCUGAAGCAGCAACGCCGCGUGGAGGAUGAAGGUUUUCGGAUUGUAAACUCCUUUUGUUAGAGAAGAUAAUGACGGUAUCUAACGAAUAAGCACCGGCUAACUCCGUGCCAGCAGCCGCGGUAAUACGGAGGGUGCAAGCGUUACUCGGAAGCACUGGGCGUAAAGGGCGCGUAGGCGGGAUAGCAAGUCAGAUGUGAAAUCCUAUGGCUUAACCAUAGAACUGCAUUUGAAACUGUUAUUCUAGAGUAUGGGAGAGGUAGGUGGAAUUCGUGGUGUAGGGGUAAAAUCCGUAGAGAUCAAGAGGAAUACUCAUUGCGAAGGCGACCUGCUAGAACCUAACUGACGCUGAUGCGCGAAAGCGUGGGGAGCAAACAGGAUUAGAUACCCGUGUAGUC